UUUUAAAUGGAGACCAGUAUGAAUGGCAUCACGAGGGCUUAUCUGUCUCCCUUCUUUAGUCAAUGAAAUUGACUUCCCCGUGCAGAGGCGGGGAUAAAUAUAUAAGACGAGAAGACCCUGUGGAGCUUUAGACCUAAAAUAAAUUAUAUUCAAUAUUCUAUAAUAACAGUAAAAAUUUAGUAAAAAAUUAUUGAAGUGUC
rnacentral:rRNA from 1 species